rnacentral:rRNA from 1 species
ACGGGAGGCAGCAGUGGGGAAUAUUGGACAAUGGAGGAAACUCUGAUCCAGCGACGCCGCGUGAGUGAAGAAGUAUUUCGGUAUGUAAAGCUCUAUCAGCAGGGAAGAUAAUGACGGUACCUGACUAAGAAGCACCGGCUAAAUACGUGCCAGCAGCCGCGGUAAUACGUAUGGUGCAAGCGUUAUCCGGAUUUACUGGGUGUAAAGGGAGCGCAGGCGGUACGGCAAGUCUGAUGUGAAAGCCCGGGGCUCAACCCCGGUACUGCAUUGGAAACUGUCGAACUAGAGUGUCGGAGGGGUAAGUGGAAUUCCUAGUGUAGCGGUGAAAUGCGUAGAUAUUAGGAGAAACACCAGUGGCGAAGGCGGCUUACUGGACGACAACUGACGCUGAGGCUCGAAAGCGUGGGGAGCAAACAGGAUUAGAUACCCUGGUA